CGCUGGGUCUUCCCUGGCAGCUGCUGCGGCCGGCGUCUCGCCGGCUGUGAAAAGUAAACCAAUCCACCUUAGGUUUUGCAGAAGCACAGGUGGGCGAGCCCAAAAGAGGCAGCAAAGCGGUGGCGGUCAGAAGCGUUCUUCUGAAGAAAGGGAGUCAGUCUGACUGGUGUGGGGCGACUGAGGAACAUUCUGUGGUACAGAGGCUGGGAAGUCACUUCGACGGCUACCUAAAAUCAGAACAUGCCAUAUCCUACUAAUUACAGUAACAUUUAGGUUGUUUGUUUGGUUUUGUUUUUUUACUGGAUGGCAACACAGGCACCAGCUACGAAAUGAACUGAAUGGGCAAAGAGACUCCCGUCCACUACUGUGGAAACUAAACACUUAAUUUGUGAAUGUUUUCUAAGACCAAAAAACAACACCCUGAAAAACCUGAACUGGCUUAUGUUGCAAGAUCCAGAAUGAUGAUUUGCUACUGAAAUAAAAUGCUACAUUUGCAUUAAAAAGGACACGCACAUGACUUCAGCUAUUAGAGAUGUGCCACAUACUUGU